GUUUAAAUCAGAGCCCCGUGGAGCCUGCAGGAACAUGCUAACUAAAAAGUUGCGAGAAGAAAAGAAACUCGCGGUGUGAUUGGAGAGCAGAGACGCACAGGUCUAAAUUGAAACCACCCAUGUCUACCAAGGUCUUCUCGGGAUGGAAUCUGCAAAUAAUUUCCAAGGCUCGCUAUUGGCUGGGACGGUCAGACAAAGCAUCACCGGACCUUUCCUUCCCAGCUGCCCACGGGGCUGCAACUCACACAAGGACGUGGCUUUACCUCGUUGCUUUCUGCCACCCGUAUGAUCUACUUUCUCCUGUGAGCUGUAAUAAACCUAUCUUUCAAUCAAA
rnacentral:lncRNA from 1 species